rnacentral:rRNA from 1 species
GAUGAACGCUGGCGGCGUGCCUAAUACAUGCAAGUAGAACGCUGAAGGAAGGAGCUUGCUCUUUCCGGAUGAGUUGCGAACGGGUGAGUAACGCGUAGGUAACCUGCCUGGUAGCGGGGGAUAACUAUUGGAAACGAUAGCUAAUACCGCAUAACAGUAGAUGUUGCAUGAUAUCUACUUAAAAGGUGCAAUUGCACCACUACCAGAUGGACCUGCGUUGUAUUAGCUAGUUGGUGAGGUAACGGCUCACCAAGGCGACGAUACAUAGCCGACCUGAGAGGGUGAUCGGCCACACUGGGACUGAGACACGGCCCAGACUCCUACGGGAGGCAGCAGUAGGGAAUCUUCGGCAAGGGACGGAAGUCUGACCGAGCAACGCCGCGUGAGUGAAGAAGGUUUUCGGACCGUAAAGCUCUGUUGUAAGAGAAGAACGAGUGUGAGAGUGGAAAGUUCACACUGUGACGGUAUCUUACCAGAAAGGGACGGCUAACUACGUG